rnacentral:rRNA from 1 species
UCAGCGAGGAAGAACGCCUAGUGGUUAAUACCCAUUAGGAAAGACAUCACUCGCAGAAGAAGCACCGGCUAACUCCGUGCCAGCAGCCGCGGUAAUACGGAGGGUGCAAGCGUUAAUCGGAAUUACUGGGCGUAAAGCGCGCGUAGGUGGCUUGAUAAGCCGGUUGUGAAAGCCCCGGGCUCAACCUGGGAACGGCAUCCGGAACUGUCAGGCUAGAGUGCAGGAGAGGAAGGUAGAAUUCCCGGUGUAGCGGUGAAAUGCGUAGAGAUCGGGAGGAAUACCAGUGGCGAAGGCGGCCUUCUGGACUGACACUGACACUGAGGUGCGAAAGCGUGGGUAGCAAACAGGAUUAGAUACCCUGGUAGUCCACGCCGUAAACGAUGUCGACCAGCCGUUGGGUGCCUAGAGCACUUUGUGGCGAAGUUAACGCGAUAAGUCGACCGCCUGGGGAGUACGGCCGCAAGGUUAAAACUCAAAUGAAUUGACGGGGGCCCGCACAAGCGGUGGAGCAUGUGGUUUAAUUCGAUGCAACGCGAAGAACCUUACCUACCCUUGACAUCUACAGAAGCCGGAAGAGAUUCUGGUGUGCCUUCGGGAACUGUAAGACAGGUGCUGCAUGGCUGUCGUCAGCUCGUGUUGUGAAAUGUUGGGUUAAGUCCCGUAACGAGCGCAACCCUUGUCCUUAUUUGCCAGCGAGUAAUGUCGGGAACUCUAAGGAGACUGCCGGUGACAAACCGGAG